rnacentral:tRNA from 1 species
GCUACCUUAGCUCAGCAGGCAGAGCAGUUGCUUUGUAAGCAUCAGGUCGUUGGUUCGAUCCCAACAGGUAGCUCCA